GUUGAAGAACGCAGCGAAAUGCGAUACUUGGUGUGAAUUGCAGAAUCCCGUGAACCAUCGAGUCUUUGAACGCAAGUUGCGCCCGAAGCCAUUAGGCCGAGGGCACGCCUGCCUGGGCGUCACACGUCGUUGCCCCCCCAUCUACUCCUUCGGGAUUGCGGGGGGCGGAUGAUGGCCUCCCGUGCGCCUCGCCGCGCGGUUGGCAUAAAUGCCAAGUCCUCGGCGACGCACGCCACGACAAUCGGUGGUUGCGAAACCUCGGUUGCCCGUCGUGUGCGGUCGUCGCGCAUCGAGGGCUCGAAAAAAUUGCCGGGUUCCGGCUCGGCUUUCAACGCGACCCCAGGUCAGGCGGGGUUACCCGCUGAAUUUAAGCAUAUCAAUAAGCGGAGGA
rnacentral:misc_RNA from 1 species